rnacentral:rRNA from 1 species
GAGUUUGAUUCUGGCUCAGGAUGAACGCUGGCGGCGUGCUUAACACAUGCAAGUCGAACGAACGACUAUUAACAGAACCUUUCGGGGCGAAGAUGAUAGAAGUUAGUGGCGGACGGGUGCGUAACGCGUGGGUAAUCUGCCUUUGUCAAAGGAAUAACUAUUCGAAAGAAUAGCUAAAACCGUAUAACAUAUUAAUAGGGCAUCCUAAUAAUAUCAAAACGAUAGUGGACAAAGAUGAGCCCGCGUCUGAUUAGCUAGUUGGUGAGAUAAAAGCCCACCAAGGCAACGAUCAGUAGCCGACCUGAGAGGGUGAACGGCCACAUUGGAACUGAGACACGGUCCAAACUCCUACGGGAGGCAGCAGUGGGGAAUAUUGCACAAUGGGGGGAACCCUGAUGCAGCAACGCCGCGUGAGUGAAGAAGGCAUUCGUGUCGUAAAACUCUGUAGUAGGGGAAGAAAGAAAGGACA